rnacentral:rRNA from 1 species
AAUAGAUACCCUGGUAGUCCACGCCGUAAACGAUGAGUGCUAAGUGUUAGGGGGUUUCCGCCCCUUAGUGCUGCAGCUAACGCAUUAAGCACUCCGCCUGGGGAGUACGGUCGCAAGACUGAAACUCAAAGGAAUUGACGGGGGCCCGCACAAGCGGUGGAGCAUGUGGUUUAAUUCGAAGCAACGCGAAGAACCUUACCAGGUCUUGACAUCCUCUGACAAUCCUAGAGAUAGGACGUCCCCUUCGGGGGCAGAGUGACAGGUGGUGCAUGGUUGUCGUCAGCUCGUGUCGUGAGAUGUUGGGUUAAGUCCCGCAACGAGCGCAACCCUUGAUCUUAGUUGCCAGCAUUCAGUUGGGCACUCUAAGGUGACUGCCGGUGACAAACCGGAGGAAGGUGGGGAUGACGUCAAAUCAUCAUGCCCCUUAUGACCUGGGCUACACACGUGCUACAAUGGACAGAACAAAGGGCAGCGAAACCGCGAGGUUAAGCCAAUCCCACAAAUCUGUUCUCAGUUCGGAUCGC